rnacentral:rRNA from 1 species
AUUGAACGCUGGCGGCAUGCCUAACACAUGCAAGUCGAGCGAGCGGAGGACGGGUGAGUACUGUCUGGGAAACUGCCUGAUGGAGGGGGAUAACUACUGGAAACGGUAGCUAAUACCGCAUACCCUCAGAUGUACCCAGAUGGGAUUAGCUAGUAGGGUGGGUAAUGGCUCACCUAGGCGACGAUCCCUAGCUGGUCUGAGAGGAUGACCAGCCACACUGGAACUGAGACACGGUCCAGACUCCUACGGGAGGCAGCAGUGGGGAAUAUUGCACAAUGGUCGCAAGCCUGAUGCAGCAAUGCCGCGUGUGUGAAGAAGGCCUUCGGGUUGUAAAGCACGUUCAGCGGGGAGGCGUGACCGGCAGAAGAAGCACCGGCUAACUACGUGCCAGCAGCCGCGGUAAUAC